rnacentral:ribozyme from 2 species
UAUGAAAUGCUACUUCGUAUUUAUGCGGAAAGGUCACAAGUCCUUGCAAAAGCAGAGUGUAUA